AGUGAACGCUGGCGAUAGGCCUAACACAUGCAAGUCGAACGGCAGCACAGUAAGAGCUUGCUCUUACGGGUGGCGAGUGGCGGGCGGGUGAGGAAUAUAUCGGAAUCUACUUUUUCGUGGGGGAUAACGUAGGGAAACUUACGCUAAUACCGCAUACGACCUACGGGUGAAAGCAGGGGAUCUUCGGACCUUGCGCGAUUGAAUGAGCCGAUGUCGGAUUAGCUAGUUGGCGGGGUAAAGGCCCACCAAGGCAGCGAUCCGUAGCUGGUCUGAGAGGAUGAUCGGCCACACUGGAACUGAGACACGGUCCAGACUCCUACGGGAGGCAGCAGUGGGGAAUAUUGGACAAUGGGCGCAAGCCUGAUCCAGCCAUACCGCGUGGGUGAAGAAGGCCUUCGGGUUGUAAAGCCCUUUUGUUGGGAAAGAAAAGCAGCAGGUUAAUACCCCGCUGUUCUGACGGUACCCAAAGAAUAAGCACCGGCUAACUUCGUG
rnacentral:rRNA from 1 species